AAAGCCAGCAACUGCUUGCACUUCUCUAUGAACUUUUCUAGGUUUUCUAGGACUAGAAUAUAUGUGAUAGGUCUGUGCACUUCACUGUCUCAACUGAAACUGAUCUCUAAAGUCCCUUCCAAUCCAAACCAUUUGGUGAUUCUUUGAUGUUUUUUUCCUAGGAGCACUAUUAUUGGAUUUGAGGUGGUGUAUUCCUCAGACCCUCCUGUCUCCUUUUUCCUCCUGUGCCUUGAAGUACUCAUUUUAUGUACCACAGCUUCCCUGGUCUUCCCCUGCUCAUAGCUCCAAACUCAGUGCCAAGAAGCAUUUUCCGAUUCUGAAUACAGAUGUGUUAUUCUGCAAGAGGUGCUGCAUUUGUCAUGAUGACCCAAGAAAUGCACAGCAUCCUCAUUCUCAGUUGUGGAUUCCCAGCCACCAGGAAUUACUGCCAUUCCGUUUGACAAUUGUGCAGUUUUAGAAAUGGGAAGAUAUUAAAUGGUUUACUCAAAUCUUCAUGGACAGAUAGAAAAUGCACUGCAUGCAGAAUCCUUUGUCAUGGGAAAAACACAGGAAGCACAAUACUGCAACAUCUGCAACUGCUCUGCCCUGCUGGGAUUGAACUCUAAUUUUCUACAUAAUGAUGAAGAUGAAUAUCCCUUAAAGGUGCAAAUGUAGGACAGGUUUUUACAGAAAACUGUUCUCAGGCACAAUGAGGAAAUACUGAUCAGAACUUGGAGCCGAGCAAGACUGCACUGCCUCUACAACAGAACUCUGCAUCUGAAAGUGAAAUUAAUUCUGUGAGGUAAGUUCUUAAUUCCAGACUGAUGUGAUAAGUGAUGAAAAAUUUACUGUAAAAAUUAUGAAAGAUAGUUCAAAAAGCUUUUAAUGUUUAGUGCUGAAACUAUGGAUUGAGACAACUUUCUGGUAUUUACAUUGUGUGUUAUUGUUAUGCUGACUUAUAUCAUAUAUUGCUCUAGCAAAAUAUUUCACUGUCUCUGCAGCUUGAAUGAUUAACUGAAGUGGAGAUAUCUAAAUAAUUCACAUUGAAGAAUUCUAAAUGGAUUUAAACUAGUUUUGGAUUUUUGUUGGUUCUCCUCAGAAUAAAGUUCAAUAACAGG